GAUGAACGCUGGCGGCGUGCCUAAUACAUGCAAGUCGAGCGAACGGACGAGAAGCUGGCUUCGCUGAUGUUAGCGGCGGACGGGUGAGUAACACGGGGGUAACCUACCGAUAAGACUGGGAUAACUGCGGGAAACCGGAUCUAAUACCGGAUAAUAUUUUUAACCGCGGGGUUCAGGAGUGAAAUACGGUCUGGCUUUCGCUUGUAGAUGGAUCGGCGCUGCGUUAGCUAGUUGGUAAGGUAACGGCUUACCAAGGCAAGGAUGCCUAGCGGACCUGCGAGGGUGAGCCGCCCCAAUAGAAUUGACACCCGGUUUAGACCCCUACGGGAGGCCGCACUAGGGCAUCUUGCGGAAUUGGCGAAAGCCUCACGGAGCACCGAAGCGUGAUUCAUGAACGUCUUCGGAUCGUUAACCUCUGUCAUUUGGGAAGCACAUUUCUGUAAGUACCUGUGCACAUCUUGACGGUACCUAAUCAGAAAGCCCCGGCUAACUACGUG
rnacentral:rRNA from 1 species